UACGUAGGGUGCGAGCGUUGCCCGGAUUUAUUGGGCGUAAAGGGCGCGUAGGCGGCUCGGCACGUCCGUUGUGAAAUCGCCCGGCUCAACCGGGCGGGGUCGGCGGAUACGGCCGAGCUGGAGCAAGCUAGGGGGUAAUGGAAUUCCCGGUGUAGUGGUGGAAUGCGUAGAUAUCGGGAGGAACACCAGUGGCGAAGGCGGUUACCUGGAGCUUUGCUGACGCUGAUGCGCGAAAGCGUGGGGAGCAAACAGG
rnacentral:rRNA from 1 species